GUUGCAGUUUAAAAAGACACCACAGAAACAAGCUUACCUUCAGACUUGGACUGGAACUGCACCACUGGCUUUCCUGGAUCUCCAAGCUUGCAGAUGGCAGAAACACUUCCUCUGAUGAAGGCAAAUCUCUUGCUGCACAACGAGCCCACACUGACCUUCUAAUGUUAAUGCAUAUACAUUGCUUCUCUGAUGCUCCUGUACUUACACCAGGUGAAGAAAAUGAGGAAGAGACCAGGCUCUGAGGUCCCAUUCAGGUCCCAGAGUGGAGCGUAUCUAUGAGGAACCCAUGUCAGAAGAGUGAUUUAUCCAUCAGCAAGCCUAUUCCUAAGGGAUCUUUCUGGCCAAAUGCAUUUGCUGCUUUUGCCAUUGUGCUUCAGAGGCACUCUGCAUGCCUCAUCGACUUGCUCUCCCAUGUGGUUUAAUGUACUACAAUU